rfam:Ciona savignyi cont_38283, whole genome shotgun sequence.
CGGCCUGAGGUCGGACGAGGCUACCCGCUGAAUUUAAGCAUAUUACUAAGCGGAGGAAAAG